GACGGAGGGUGCAAGCGUUGUUCGGAAUUACUGGGCGUAAAGCGCGGGCAGGUGGCCUUUUAAGUCCUUUGUGAAAUUCCGGAGCUCAACUCCGGAUGUGCAUAGGAUACUGCCUUGCUCGAGUACUGGAGAGGGAACUGGAAUUUACGGUGUAGCAGUGAAAUGCGUAGAGAUCGUAAGGAAGGCCAGUGGCGAAGGCGAGUUCCUGGACAGUUACUGACGCUGAGGCACGAAGGCCAGGGGAGCAAACGGG
rnacentral:rRNA from 1 species